AGAGAGAGAGAGAGAGAGAGAAUGUGAGAGAGAGAGAGAGAGAGAGAGAGAAGAGAGAGGUAGGUGUAGGCAUGAUGGGGUAUAUAGAGUUACCUGAUUUCCUGGGGAUCUCUGACACGCCCUGCAGCUAUACCGCUUUAACGUUUGCACUGAGCCAAUAUUAAGGCAGCUUAUAGUCCUGAUGAAAAUGGCGGUUGCGAAAAGCGGCGCACCUCUUCAACGUCUGACGAACGACCGGCGACAUACUCGAGUUUCCUUUCGGAAUUAUUACUAAAAUGUUUACCGAG